ACAUAUAGAGGAUCUGGUACUAUCUGUGGUUUCAGGCAUCCACUGGGGGCCUUGGAAUGUAUCCCCAGUGGAUAAGGGGGGCACUGUGAUUAAUGUACUGGAAAGGGAGAGGAAGGCAAU